UGUCAGUACAGGCCGCUCCAAGGCGAAACCGCGAAUGGCUCAUUAAAUCAGUUAUAAUUCAAUAGACUAAAACCUAUUACUCGGAUAACCCUGGUAAUUCUAGAGCUAAUACGUGAUGAAUACAACUCCGACUGCAAGGGAGGAGUGCUUUUAUUAGUGGAAAACCAAUCGGGCCUCGGUCCGUUCACUUUAACGUGAUGACUCUGAAUAACUUUGUGCAGAGAGCACGGUCUCCGCACCGGCUCCAUAUCUUUCGAGUUUCUGCCUUAUCAUGCUGUGGAUUGUAGGCCAUGCGCCUACAGUGGCUGUUACGGGUGACGGAGAAUCAGGGUUCGAUUCCGGAGAGGGAGCCUGAGAAACGGCUACCACAUCCAAGGAAGGCAGCAGGCACGCAAAUUACCCAAUCCCAGCUCUGGGAGGUAGUGACGAAAAAUAACAAUGCGGGACUCUUCCGAGUCUGCGUAAUUGGAAUGAGCACACUUUAAAUUAAAGUUGUUGCGGUUAAAAAGCUCGUAGUUCGAGCUCAGUUCCGGACUGGCUGGGGAGGUCACCGCCCGGUGCUUCCCCGUCAGGCUCCGAACAGCUUCCCUGAGUGGAAGCCAAGCCGGUUCUGCCGGGGUGCUCUUUACCGAGUGUCCCGCGCGGCCGGCCAGUUCACCUUGAAUAAAUGAGAGUGCUCAAAGCAGGCUACUCUCGAAUAUUAUGCCCGAAUGUUACCUGCAUGGAAUGAUGGAAGAUGAUCUCGGUUCCAUUUUGUUGGUGGUGGGAGCCAGAGGUAAUGAUAAACAGGGACUGUCGGGGGCAUCCGUACUACGACGCGAGAGGUGAAAUUCAGUGACCGUCGUAGGACGAACAACAGCGAAAGCAUUUGCCAAGAAUGUCUUCGUUGAUCAAGAACGAAAGUUAGAGGAUCGAAGGCGAUCAGAUACCGCCCUAGUUCUAACCCUAAACGAUGCUGACUAGCAAUUCGCCGUCGUUAUUCCCAUGACGUGGCGAGACGCUCCCGGGAAACCUCAAGUCUUUGAGUUCCGGGGGUAGUAUGGUUGCAAAACUGAAACUUAAAGGAAUUGACGGAAGGGCACCACCAGGAGUGGAGCCUGCGGCUUAAUUUGACUCAACACGGGGAACCUCACCAGGCCCGGACACCAGAAGGAUUGACAGAUUAAGAGCUCUUUCUCGAUUUGGUGGGUGGUGGUGCAUGGCCGUUCUUAGUUGGUGGAGUGAUUUGUCUGGUUAAUUCCGGUAACGAACGAGACUCUGGCCUACUAAAUAGUCGACGGGCGUUUUGGUGCAUGGGCCCCGUUCGACACAGUCUUCUUAGAGGGAUGAGCAGCGAGUAUAGCUGCAGGAGAUUGAGCAAUAACAGGUCUGUGAUGCCCUUAGAUGUCCUGGGCCGCACGCGCGCUACACUGAAUGGGUUAGCGGGUUGUCCUUNUCCGAGAGGAGCGGGAAAUCGCGUGAAAACCAUUCGUGAUAGGGAUUGGGGCUUGCAAUUCUUCCCCAUCAACGAGGAAUUCCCAGUAAGCGCAAGUCAUCAGCUUGCGUUGAUUAAGUCCCUGCCCUUUGUACACACCGCCCGUCGCUACUACCGAUUGAAUGAUUUAGUGAGGCCUUCGGACUGGCGGUCUUGGACUGGGGCGCCGGCGUUCUCCCAGCAAUGGGGUGCCGGUGACUCGCCUCGACGAGCCGGAAAGAUGUCCAAACUUGAUCAUUUAGAG
rnacentral:rRNA from 1 species